UAAGCGGAGGAAAAGAAACUAACAAGGAUUCCCCUAGUAACUGCGAGUGAAGCGGGAAAAGCUCAAAUUUAAAAUCUGAUAGUCUUAUGGCUGUCCGAGUUGUAAUCUAGAGAAGUGCUUUCCGCGCUGGACCGUGUACAAGUCUCUUGGAACAGAGCGUCAUAGAGGGUGAGAAUCCCGUCUUUGACACGGACUACCAGUGCUUAUGUGAUGCGCUCUCAAAGAGUCGAGUUGUUUGGGAAUGCAGCUCAAAAUGGGUGGUAAAUUCCAUCUAAAGCUAAAUAUUGGCGAGAGACCGAUAGCGAACAAGUACCGUGAGGGAAAGAUGAAAAGAACUUUGGAAAGAGAGUUAAACAGUACGUGAAAUUGUUGAAAGGGAAACGCUUGAAGUCAGUCGCGUUGACCAGAAAUCAACCUUGCUUUUUUUUGUUGGGUGUAUUUUCUGGCUUUACGGGUCAGCAUCAAUUUUGACUGUUGGAUAAAAGCUAAUAUUUAUUUCAUCUUCGGAUGUAUAGCCUUUGGUUGCAUACAACAGUUGGGAUUGAGGAACUCAGCACGCCGCAAGGCCGGGUCCUUUUGGAUCACGUACGUGCUUAGGAUGCUGGCAAAAUGGCUUAAUCGACCCCGUCUUGA
rnacentral:rRNA from 1 species